rnacentral:lncRNA from 1 species
ACUUGGUGGAGGGUUGUAGAAUGUUUUCCGACCUAACAAGUUCGAAAACUAGAAUUCUGGACAAGUCCUGAGAGUUUUUACUCUCGGGGACCGGUCCCUGAAAGGAGAGACCGGUCCCCCAGUGAGCAGUGUUGCGGCAGCCUUGAGGCAACCGGUCCCUGGCAGGCGAGACCGGUCCCCGAGCGCGCCUACGCAGUGAGAGACCGGUCCCGCGCAGGGAGAGACCGGUUCCCGAACAUUGAUUUUUCGGGUUCGCAGCGAGAGACCGGUCCUUACUGGGGAGAGACCGGUCCCUUUGGGCGAAAACUGCUCAGUUCGGGCUGAUGUAAAUUUGAGUUUUUGAGGGGCCUCCCCGGAUUUUGUUACACUAGAUGGGCUUAUUAGCCAUUUCCCUCUCUUCCCUUCUCAUUUCUCACCCUCACCCUACACCUUCUUGAGAGAGAAGAAGAAGAAGGAGGAGAAGAAG